UUCGGGUUAUCGACAGCUCC
rnacentral:misc_RNA from 1 species